GACGAAGGGGGCUAGCGUUGUUCGGAAUUACUGGGCGUAAAGGGCGCGUAGGCGGUUUGUUAAGUCAGGCGUGAAAGCCCUGGGCUCAACCUGGGAGGUGCGUUUGAUACUGGCAAGCUUGAGUGCAGGAGAGGAUGGUGGAAUUCCCAGUGUAGAGGUGAAAUUCGUAGAUAUUGGGAAGAACACCGGUGGCGAAGGCGGCCAUCUGGACUGCAACUGACGCUGAGGCGCGAAAGCGUGGGGAGCAAACAGG
rnacentral:rRNA from 1 species